UAUGGUCAUAUCAUAUUGAAACACUGGUUCUCAUACAAUCACUGAAGUUAAGCAGUGUCGAGCCUGGUCUGUAUGUAGAUGGGUGACUGCUUAGGAAUAUCAGAUGCUGCAAGC